rnacentral:lncRNA from 1 species
GUCUCGUUUCUUGGUGUUAUGGGCAGUGUUGAUAAGGGCAAGCCAGUGGCCUAGCCCUCUUGGGCAUUGAUUGUCGGAGCUAAGGAUGCAUAUCUGAAGUAUGUGAAUAUACCGGAGUCAGCUUUCGUUGAUGGGAUGCUCACUAUUCCGAAAGAAAUUAUGGAGAAAGGUAUGGCUCAGAUGCGUGCAUCGGUUUGUAGCUCAAUUCGUAGGUUCCUUUCCUUAGAUUCAUGUUUUUGCUUUCAUAAUUAAUAGACUAUGGGAUUUGAAGGAGAGGUGAUUCUAUCUAAGCUCUCUGAAGGCUUUUUUUCUUAGUGAGUUCUGAUUGGUCUCUCUUUGGAAAUGGAUGCUGAACAGAGUUUGGCAUAUUCAUCAUAUUUUGUUGAUUUUUCGUUAAUGAAAGUCAAAUAUUGAACUUCUUAAUCUGAAAGUCAAGGAGGUCUUCUGGAUUAGGUUUCAAAAUGUUCCUCCCCAUCCUAUUACUAAGGAAGGGAUUGAAUGGUUGGUAAGUAGUAUUGGUACCCUGUCAAAAAUUAUAUUCGAGAAGGAUUAAAUGUUAAGGUAUGUGUGCUAAUGGGGAAAGAUGUAGUAUGCCUGAGAAUAUUUUCAUAAAUCCGGUAGGUCAAUGCAUUUAUAUUCUUAUGGAUAUGCCUCAAAUCAGAGUGGUGCCUCAGAAGCAAUGGACGCUAAAAUCUUAGACAAUCAUUAUUGAACUUGAAGGUCAAUCUAAAGGAUGUAGUGGUGAGCCUUUUGUGAUAGGUAUGCCUAUUCCUCCCAAAGAAGCUUGUGAGGCUUCGGCUGAAGGGGUAGAGAACACCUUAGUUGAAGCUUCUCUUGAAGUGGAAACUAGUGAGUGUUCUUAGGAGGAUUUGGUAGCUCAAGCUUCUCAACAAGUGGAGGCUGUCAACCUGUACUUUGAAAAGAAGAUGGUACAAAUUGAAGAUGUGAUAAUUUUAGUGGUGCAAAAUGCUUUCGAAGAAAUGGUUGAUGACCUGCAAAGGAGCAAGAAAAAGAAAAAAUAAUUGUAGAAAAUUCAGAUGGUUUCACUACUCUGCGUACCCCGGGUCAAGCUACUCUUAGAGACUUCAUUGAAAAAGGUAAGUUUUCUUCUGUUAAAGCUAAAAGGGGUAGGAAGAGAGGUAAAAAGACUCGAUGAAAGCUCUAAUUUCAAACCAAUAAGGAUUUAAUUCUCCUACAAAAUAUAGUUAUAUUAAUAAAUAUAAUACAAACUUCCUUGUUAUACUUGAAACUAGAGUAAAGAGUAACAAAGUAGAGAAAUUUUUGAAAACUAAAUUUGCUUCUUGGUAGCAUUUUCCAAAUUAUGAUUAUAGUCCUCUGGGCAAGAUUUGGAUUCUUUGGAGAAAUUAUUUCAAAUGUAAGUUAUGAAUUAUUCUGAGCAGUUCAUCUUUAUGAAGAUUGGCGGAGCUAAUUCGUUUUGUCUUUGUGUAGUUAUGGGGCCAACAAACAUGUGGAAAGGAAUUGGAUUUACAAUCAUACCUCUAGUUUUUCCCCGCUGAUCUCCCUCUUACAGUCUUGGAAGAUUUCAACGCUAUUGCAUCUCCCGAGGAGGCUUCUAAUGAGGUAGGUAUUUUUACUGGGAUGCAAGAGUGUCAAAAUGGGAUUAAUAGUAAUAAGUUGGAGGAUCACUAUGUUAUUGGUGCUUUCUUUACUUGGCACAACAAUAGGAUGGAUUAACCAAUUGCUACAAGGGUUGAUAGAUGCUUUAUUAAUCAAUGUUGGAUUAAUUGUUUUACUAUUAGUAGAGUGGAGAUGCUUGAGCCAGGGGUCUCAAAUCAUUGUGGCAUCCUUUUUGACAUGGAUCUCAAAGUCUGUUUUCUUCUAAAGCCUUUUAAAUUCUUUAAAAAUUGGGUUCAGAGGGUUGGUUAUAAAGAUACUGUCGAUGGUGCAUGGACUGCUUAUGAUGUUUUUGCUCAUAGGAGAGGGUUUGAGCGCAUUUGCUA